rnacentral:misc_RNA from 1 species
GAUUAAGAACGUAGCGAAAUGCGAUAAGUAAUGUGAAUUGCAGAAUUCAGUGAAUCAUCGAAUCUUUGAACGCACAUUGCGCCCGCCAGCAUUCUGGCGGGCAUGCCUGUUCGAGCGUCAUUUCAACCCUCGACUUCCCUUUGGGGAAAUCGGCGUUGGGGACCGGCUGUAUACCGCCGGCCCCGAAAUGAAGUGGCGGCCCGUCCGCGGCGACCUCUGCGUAGUAAUCCAACUCGCACCGGAACCCCGACGUGGCCACGCCGUAAAACCCCCGACUUCUGAACGUUGACCUCGGAUCAGGUAGGAAUACCCGCUGAACUUAAGCAUAUCAAUAAGCGGAGGA